rnacentral:ribozyme from 14 species
UUUUUUUUUUUUUUUUUUUUGGAAAAAAAAAAAAAAAAAAAAAAAAAAGGUU